rnacentral:snRNA from 2 species
CUUUAAAAAAGAAAAAAGAAGUGCUAAAAAAAAAACAGUACAGAGUUUAGUGUGGCCCCUGUCCAAGGAUAACAUGCAAAUUAGUGAAAUAUUCCAUGUUUGU